rnacentral:rRNA from 1 species
CAGCAGCCGCGGUAAUACGAAGGGUGCAAGCGUUAAUCGGAAUUACUGGGCGUAAAGCGUGCGUAGGCGGUGAGUUAAGUCUGCUGUGAAAUCCCCGGGCUCAACCUGGGAAUGGCAGUGGAUACUGGCUCGCUAGAGUGUGUCAGAGGAUGGUGGAAUUCCCGGUGUAGCGGUGAAAUGCGUAGAGAUCGGGAGGAACAUCAGUGGCGAAGGCGGCCGUCUGGGACAACACUGACGCUGAGGCACGAAAGCGUGGGGAGCAAACAGGAUUAGAUACCCCCGUAGUCCCUGUCUCUUAUAC